AAUAUUCAACUGGAGAUACCUUGCUUUUUAUCGUUCCGGCCACCAGAUUCGUUGGUUUUCAUAAAGUUUCAUUUGCCUGUGCCACUUCCACCCGUGUUUAUAAGGCGUAAUAUUCAACUGGAGAUACCUUACUUUUUUAUCGUUCCGGCUGCUGUAUUAUCCGAUUCUUGUGUGUUGGUUGGUAUAUCGGAAGCUUUAGUGCAAGAUGUUCGAAGAAAAACUUAUAGCAGAGAUUGAAAAACACAACUGCUUGUGGGACAAACGACAGCUUAGUUACCGCGAUCGGGUGAAGAAAGA
rnacentral:lncRNA from 1 species